rnacentral:rRNA from 1 species
AUACGGAGGAUGCGAGCGUUAUCCGGAUUUAUUGGGUUUAAAGGGAGCGCAGGCGGAGAUGCAAGCGUGACGUCAAAUUUCGGGGCUCAACCCCGUCUCGCGUCGCGAACUGCGUCCCUUGGUUGCGGGAAGGGGAGGCGGAACUCGUGGUGUAGCGGUGAAAUGCAUAGAUAUCACGAAGAACUCCGAUCGCGAAGGCAGCCUUCCGGCCCGUCAACGACGCUCAUGCUCGAAGGUGCGGGUAUCAGACAGGAUUAGAUACCCUGGUAGUCCGCACAGUAAACGAUGGACACCCGCGGUUUGGCCUGUAUGGCUGAGCCGCCAAGCGAAAGCGUUAAGUGUCCCACCUGGGGAGUACGCCGGCAACGGUGAAACUCAAAUGAAUUGACGGG